UAUAGCUCGAAACCGCAAACCCCCCCGGCCAACCAAACCGGGCCACAUGGCCCCCUGUCCGUUCACUGGGAUUUUUCCUUUCUGUGUUUAAACUUCUUUACCAUAAUUGAUUCUGUUUUCGAAUUGCUUUAUCUUUUAGGUUUUAUUUGUUUUUGAGUGAGUCUUUUUGCAUGGGUUUUAGAAAAUUCCGUAGUUUGUGUAGAUAUAAAGUUUGGU
rnacentral:lncRNA from 1 species